rnacentral:rRNA from 1 species
AUUGAACGCUGGCGGCAUGCCUUACACAUGCAAGUCGAACGGCAGCACGGGUGCUUGCACCUGGUGGCGAGUGGCGAACGGGUGAGUAAUACAUCGGAACGUACCUUAUCGUGGGGGAUAACGCAGCGAAAGUUGCGCUAAUACCGCAUACGCUCUGAGGGGGAAAGCGGGGGACCGUAAGGCCUCGCGCGAUUAGAGCGGCCGAUGUUGGAUUAGCUUGUUGGUAAGGUAAAAGCUCACCAAGGCGAUGAUCAGUAGCUGGCCUGAGAGGGCGAUCAGCCUCACUGGGACUGAGACACGGCCCAGACUCCUACGGGAGGCAGCAGUGGGGAAUUUUGGACAAUGGGGGCAACCCUGAUCCAGCAAUGCCGCGUGAGUGAAGAAGGCCUUCGGGUUGUAAAGCUCUUUUGUCAGGGAAGAAACAGCAGCUCUAACACAGUCUGCGAAUGACGGUACCUGAAGAAUAAGCACCGGCUAACUACGUGCCAGCCGCCGCAGUAA